GUCCCAGUAGCGCAAUGGUUAACGCGUUGGACUUGUAAUUCAAAGGUCGUGGGUUCGAAUUCCACCUGGGUUG
rnacentral:tRNA from 1 species